AGAUCGCAGUCUGCAACCCGACUGCGUGAAGUCGGAAUCGCUAGUAAUCGCGGAUCAGCAUGCCGCGGUGAAUACGUUCCCGGGCCUUGUACACACCGCCCGUCACACCAUGAGAGUCGGGAACACCCGAAGUCCGUAGCCUAACCGCAAGGGGGGCGCGGCCGAAGGUGGGUUCGAUAAUUGGGGUGAAGUCGUAACAAGGUAUC
rnacentral:rRNA from 1 species